rnacentral:misc_RNA from 1 species
GAAAUGCGAUAAUUAAUGUGAAUUGCAGAAUUCAGUGAAUCAUCGAGUCUUUGAACGCACAUUGCGCCCCCUGGUAUUCCGGGGGCAUGCCUGUCCGAGCGUCAUUGCUGCCCUCAAGCACGGCUUGUGUGUUGGGCUUCCGUCCCUGGCAACGGGGACGGGCCCAAAAGGCAGUGGCGGCACCAUGUCUGGUCCUCGAGCGUAUGGGGCUUUGUCACCCACUCCCGUAGGUCCAGCUGGCAGCUAGCCUCGCAACCAAUCUUUUUAACCAGGUUGACCUCGGAUCAGGUAGGGAUACCCGCUGAACUUAAGC